UGGUAGUGACCUGAAAGAGAACGACCCCAAUGGAAAGCAGAGAUCUCUUGUUUAAAAAAGACUGCACUCCAGUGAGACCUGUCCCAGUCCGGCCAGGGGAAGAGUAAUGGGGCCAGCGGGUCACAACACCUAACUGUCUGGGCGUCUACAGAAUGAGCGAGAGUCGUGAACCGCUUCUGCGUGAAGUCAGCGUGGGCACUCAGGACCCUGGGAAUCCAGCGUCGCAAAAUAAACACCGCCGCGCCGCUAAUCGCCAGCUCGGGAUCUGUGCAGACCCAGCCCUCCCUCCUCCCGCGCCUUC